GAUGAACGCUAGCGGCAGGCUUAAUACAUGCAAGUCGAGGGACAGCACAGGUAGCAAUACUGGGUGGUAACCGGCAAACGGGUGCGGAACACGUACACAACCUUCCUUUAAGUGGGGGAUAGCCCAGAGAAAUUUGGAUUAAUACCCCGUAAUAUAGUUGAAUGGCAUCAUUUGAUUAUUAUAGCUACGGCGCUUAAUGAUGGGUGUGCGGCUGAUUAGAUAGUUGGUGGGGUAACGGCCCACCAAGUCUACGAUCAGUAGCUGAUGUGAGAGCAUGAUCAGCCACACGGGCGCUGAGACACGGGCCCGACUCCUACGGGAGGCAGCAGUAAGGAAUAUUGGUCAAUGGACGCAAGUCUGAACCAGCCAUGCCGCGUGAAGGAUUAAGGUCCUUUGGAUUGUAAACUUCUUUUAUUUGGGACGAAAAAGGGCCUUUCUAGGUCAACUGACGGUACCAGAUGAAUAAGCACCGGCUAACUCCGUGCCAGCCGCCGCAGUAACAC
rnacentral:rRNA from 1 species